rfam:Nippostrongylus brasiliensis genome assembly, scaffold: NBR_scaffold0004021
CCAACGGCCCUCUUUAGGGCCACAAUCAUGAACAUGAACGAAUCA